CCUCCAAGGCUAAAUACUCCUGACUGACCGAUAGUGAACCAGUACCGUGAGGGAAAGGCGAAAAGAACCCCGGCGAGGGGAGUGAAAAAGAACCUGAAACCGUGUACGUACAAGCAGUGGGAGCACCUUCGGGUGUGACUGCGUACCUUUUGUAUAAUGGGUCAGCGACUUAUAUUCUGUAGCAAGGUUAACCGUAUAGGGGAGCCGUAGGGAAACCGAGUCUUAACCGGGCGUUAAGUUGCAGGGUAUAGACCCGAAACC
rnacentral:rRNA from 1 species